CGCUCACAAAGAAAUAUUUUAUUUUUAUUUUACUCCUCACAUGUUUUUCAUGUCAACAAUUACUUAAAUAUUUCUUUAUCGUAAAUAUAUACACAUCUGUAUAAGUGAUUAAACUAUUUUCUCAUCACACAGGCCUAUUAAUAUUCUAUUCGGUACACUAAUUCAGCUAGUUAAUCGGAAUAGCGAAAUAACUCGCUAAAACUGAAUCUGGCUCGAUAAUCGCAGGAACCACGAAGUUGACGAGAGUUUCGUGACUCACGCAAUUAUCGAGCACCUAAUGAGCAUCACACUAACACAUUAAUUUAUUCAACGAUCGAACUAUUUUGAAUAAUUUAUCAGCUUACCGUUUUCACAGCUGACACGAAUCCGCGGGAUCGGUAGCGAUUUUCCGAUCCAGGCAAUUUAUCGAGCGCUUGGGGAAUAUCGUGCUGCUAGCUUCGUCUUCACCCGAUUCUUGGGAUUCUUGAUGACGCGCGGAACGACGACGAUCUUCGAUUGAAGUCUUCGACCGAGUACUUGAUAAGCGAUGCACAGUGACCUAGCUUAUUUUGGUCUAAAGUCCGGGAUUCGGGUUCGACGAGAUCGAGCAGACGACGAUACGGAAGAGUGACAUAUAUAGAGUUGUAGGUCUGGCGAGCUGACACAAGUGAUGGAGACAGCCGCGUAUGGCAGCAGUACAGUCUAUGGAUUUGGGUGUUUUAUCGAACAGGUGGGAUGCGAGGAGCCGAGCAAUCACUUGAACAUGGUCGACGGCGAGGUCUGCCAGAAGAGAAUAUCGGCACACGACGAACGCGCAUAGCUUCAAAACCUUCAAAACCAUGCGCGCGAGAUCUAACUACGGCGCGAUGCGUAUUAGGAACAAGCACACGCGGUAGCGAACAUGGUCGACGAGCCAAACAACACAGGACCAAGCGACGAAUGCGUUUGGCGAGGUCGCAACUGAGACGAUUAGGGAGCAGGAGGGCGGCAUCAGGGAGUAGCCUGGGAGAGCCGCUCGGUAGAACGCAGGGGGCUAGGGCGAGCUAUGGAGGAGCGCCGGCCGCGCGGCACCGAGGAAGAAAGCCGAGCUGGGGAUCUGCCAUGGGAGCAGAGAAGAGAACUUCGCGAGCUGAGGGGGGCGCCGCGAGCUUGAAGAUGGAGCAGAGGACAGAGCGACAGACGCACAGAGAACAGCGCCGGCAGCUCGCCAUGGGAGAUCCGAGCUGGGCGCAUGGCGGCAACAGGGAGGAGCAGGCGAUGUCGCGGCUGGGAGCCGCACACAGCAGCAGGCGCGGUACCAAGCACGACCAUGGGAGCGGGCCAGGCGCGCGACCACGCGAUGCAGGAAGCCGAGCAGAAAAUCCACUCCGACAAGGGAACGACGGCCAUGGCAGGGAGCUGGGAACGCACAGGAAGGAGCUCUGGCCGACGCCAUGGCUGGGACCUGGGAGCUGGGGCGAGCAGCACGCAGGCACGGCACCAAGCGAGCACAGAGAGAGAUGGAAGGAGGAGAGAGAGAACAGCGCGGAGAGAGAAACGCCAUGGGGACGGGCGCGGCUGGAGCUUGGAGACCGAGCGACCGAGCGGCCGCCAUGGGAUCGAGGGAGAGGAGAAACAGGGAGGGCGCAGAGGACCUGGGCGCUGAGCGCCAUGGGCAAAAACGUCAGGGAGGGGCUGCUCGACCGGACAGAGAACGAGCAGGGAGAAAUGCACUUUGAGAAUCCUCCAGAACGGUACGGCUCAGGUUGAAGAUAGAAGGAGCGGU
rnacentral:misc_RNA from 1 species